rnacentral:misc_RNA from 1 species
CUGUUUUGGCUGCUGCAAGUAUGGCUGAAGCAUAAGAUUACUAGGCUAAGAAGUUUGAAUUUGAACUUGAUGGUCCUAGCAGAAGGUUUUUAUUUUUGUGCUAAUCUUGAACAGCUAGUUUUAAAAUUUUCUCCUGGACAUUGAAGGAGUAGCAAGGAUAUUGAUAUCGUCUUAUUGAUGGUAUUCAAAAAACUAAAUAAGGACCCAACAUAGACAGAAUUUUGUAUAGAAAAGGAAAAGGAGUGAGAACUAUUUUUCUUUUACUGAGAGUUUAUAAUGUUGUUUGAACAGAAUAAAACUUUCUAAGACACUUCUAAGGUUAACAGGUCUGAAAUAGU